AAUAUUGCACAAUGGGGGAAACCCUGAUGCAGCGACGCCGCGUGAGCGAAGAAGGCCUUCGGGUCGUAAAGCUCUGUCCUAAGGGAAGAAACGGACGGUACCUUAGGAGGAAGCCCCGGCUAACUACGUGCCAGCAGCCGCGGUAAUACGUAGGGGGCGAGCGUUGUCCGGAAUUAUUGGGCGUAAAGGGUUCGUAGGCGGUUUUUUAAGUCAGAUGUGAAAGGUCACGGCUCAACCGUGGUAAGCAUUUGAAACUGAAAGACUUGAGUUAAGGAGAGGAAAGUGGAAUUCCUAGUGUAGCGGUGAAAUGCGUAGAUAUUAGGAGGAAUACCGAUGGCGAAGGCAGCCCCCUGGGAUAAUACUGACGCUCAGACACGAAAGCGUGGGGAGCAAACA
rnacentral:rRNA from 1 species